AUUUUUCGCUGCGCUCUUGUUGCUUUAUCUCUUUUGUGACGUCUGAGCGGCAUUGAGCUUUGAUUACAGAUUGUUGAAUCUUGUUGCCUUCAUAACAAAGCUUUGUUUAGUUGGUUGCAUAUCAGCAACUAAGUUUUACAUUAUACUAUGGAUCCUCGUUACACCGGGGAGAUCUUGAAGCAUUUGGAGAAGCAGAAUGAGCUUCUUACUGAGGCCCAUAAUUCAAUGUCUCAUGAAUUACAUAAACUUUAGGUUGAGGAGGAGAUACUGAUGCGUAAAUUUUACGAGCUUAUGACUGCACAGGGUCUAACUAAAAAGAAAGAAGAAACUGUUAAUGUUACCAAUGAUGGUGAAAAUGGACACUCCACUGCUUUAGUUUGUAUAAUUGGCAGCGAUCAACAGUGAGGAUCACGUGUGUUCAAUUUUACUCUAUUGUUUCAAUUUUUUUGUCAAAUUGAGUGUUUGAAGUAUCAAAUGUAGCCCUUUAUAAAGUCUGAGUGAUUAUAUGAUCAUAUUCAGUAAAUAAUUUAAAUUUAAAUUUAUUAAACUGCAUUUACUGGGUCCAUAAAAUGAACAUUCAAAGCCAUUUAAUUUUGGGGAUUGGCAGUUUCAGGUUAAUUUUUGUCGAAGUUAACAGAGUACUUCAUUCAUUGUGUAGAUCCAUUUUGACAAGUCUAUUUCUCAAAAAUGUUAUCACUUGACAAGUCUGUUUCAAUUAUCUGUCUGAUGAAAAACAAAUAUAUGUCCAUUGGUUAGGAUCAUCUGUAUUGCAGUGUGAUUAAUAAUUGAAUCUAGUGCUGUGACAAAUUUAAUUACUCAUUGACAAACAAAAAUAGGAUCAGCUGACCACACGAAACUGAAUUAUAUUAUGAUUAAUUCUAUUUGUCCUCACUAAUGAUCUGCAUAUCCAUAGUUCCCUGGUUAAAUUGAUACACAGAAGGUACAAUUCGACAGUAAAAGUAAAACAAUGUGUAUUUGUAAAGAUUUUGCCACUGCCAUAAUAUUCACUGGAAAAUAGUGAGUCCAUUUCAAGUAUAUUUCAAAUUCUACUUUCAAGAAUUGGGAUGAUUUUCAAUACCAUUUUGCUGUCUACCAAAUUAUUUUGUUUUAUUGGUCACUGUCAAUUUAUCUGUCUAUGUGUGUUAAAUUGUGUCAGGUAUAGUUACAACUUUGCUUUGCUAAAUUACUAGUGGUGACAUGAUUUCGUAAAUAUGGAAACAGAUUAGAACUGUGAAAAGAAAACAAAAUCGAGACUUCUAUUCCACGGUCAGGUCAUUGCUACACUCUUUUCAAAGUUAGUUCUGAUUUUUUUAAGUGUACUUAGGACAUCAGUUAUGUCAAUUCUCCUUUCUGAUGAUUCCACAGAGCAAUCCACGGCCAGUUCCAGUGUGGACAAAAUACAAUCCUUUUUAGCAGUGAAAUUUUCUUCUCCAAGCAAAUUGGCAUCUGUUAUUUCAGUUACUGAAUCAGGUAAUGCCUCUUUUACCCAGCACUUCAGGCUUCUGGCUCCUCAAACAUGUCAUCUGUGGGCUUCUUUCUGGUAAAUGUUUCCAUCAACAAAAUACCAAAGCUGUAGAUAUCUCCUCUUGCAGAAACAAUUCCUUCUGAUCCAUACUCUACAUGAUGUUCACAGGUUAUUUAUUAGAACCAGAGGAAACAAAACCUGCUCUGUGAGCAAGCCUAGAAACAUAAACACAUAUAAAGACACGUCUGCAAGCAAAAUAUAAAUUUAGAUCAUAAACUUAAAAGUUUCCUGGUGCCAUAUAUCCGAUGGUGGCCAAGGUGUUGGUUUGUAUACAGAAUCCCGUCACCUAAGAGUUUUGCUAUGCCAAAAUCACCCACAUGUGCAACAAAUCUCUGUCUAGCAAGACAUUGCUAGGCUUCAAUACAAUGUAUAAUAGGUGUUUGAGAACGUGGAUGAAGAUAUUCUAAAGCUGAUGCAACAUCUAUCAUUAUGUUUAAUCUCUGUAGGAUAUCCAACAAUAAUUUGAGAAUACAACCAUUUUUCCAAACUCCAUUAGGCAUGUAAUCAAGGACGAAGGCUUUGAAGUCAAAGUUAGAACAACUACUAAUAAUUUUAAUAAGAUUUCGGUGACGGAUUUUGCUCAUCACUUCACAUUCAUCAUCAAAACUUUUUAAUGCCUUUUCUACCUGCAAAUUGAAAACUUUAAUAGCUAUGUCUGUUCCAUCGGAAAGUUUUCCUUUGUAUACUGAUCCCAAGCCCCCUGUACCAAGCAAAUUGCUUUCGUUGAAUCCGUUUGUUACAAGUCCAAUUUCUGCGUAUGAGAUUCUUCGCCAUGUUGCUAGAGUUAACCUAUCUUCCGUGUCAAAAAAAUUUGCAUUCCU